UUGUAAAAGGCCGGAACCAAGUCUAGGUUUAGAUAGAUAUUUGCGUCGCACAUCUGUACUAGACACGUCGCCGCCAGAAGGUAUACUCCUUUUAGCUUCUUCAGAUUCUUCUGAAUCCGAAAGUCUCGAUCUCCGUUUGCCGAAGAAAUUCUGCAGCAUCGGAGUCGCUUUGCAGAUCUUGUCUUCCAAGUGUACAGGGUUUGCCGUUCCCAGAUUUCCUUUGCCCCUUCCGUUUUCUCCGUUUCGAUGGCUUCCCUCUCUUACUCUUCCAAUCUCCAGAAUCAUUAUCUUCUCUUCCGCCCUCCGUAUCCAAUCAACAUCGCGGACUCUUGAGAUUCCUUCGAUCACGUCUCGAUCAAACUUCGCUGACGAUUUGGGCAGAAUCCAUUGAUUAAGGUGCCAUAAGUAACUGAAUUUAAAAGAAUUUCUGUUCUUGUAUAAAUUUAGUUAGUUAUGGCACUUAAUCUGUGGGUAACCAAGCCUGUUGUUUGGCCAAAUUUCUAGCUGGAAGUAGUGUUUUGCACCGAAAGGCAUCAACGAGAAUGUUUCCGCCUGCAAAAUAAUGAAAUGUCCACUGUAUUUUUUUUUUUUGGGAAAAUCACUCUGAAGUCUCGCAGAAGUGAAUAAGUUUGAAUAUUGAAUUACCAAAAUACUCAUUAUAACCCAUGAAACCCAAACACACGAAACACACCACGGUCUCAUCGCCUCCAUCUUAUGUGUCCUGGUUGUAAAUCGGCAAAUCGACAGUGGAUUUGGACAGUGAUGGCGACGGCAAGUUCGAACGGCUCAUGGGGAUCGAACGUCGGAUCUGCUACAGCUUAGGGAGAGAGGGUCGUGCGACGAGGAGGCAACAAAGCAAUGAUAGAAUAAUGGAGCAGAGAGGGAAGCAAAAGAGAAAGAAUAGUGUAGUCCAGUCUUUCGUUUUAGACCAAUGCCAAUCAAGAGAGGAAGCAAAAGAGACCAAUGCCAACUUGUGUAGUUUUUUUGGAGAUGGGUUGGGAAAUACAUGAAAACUAUGAAGAUGGAGUAUAUUUUGUACAUGACAAUGUCUAUUUUUAUAUAAAUCUAGUUUUCAA